AGAGUUUGAUCAUGGCUCAGGAUGAACGCUAGCGGCAGGCUUAACACAUGCAAGUCGAGGGGUAUAGUUCUUCGGAACUAGAGACCGGCGCACGGGUGCGUAACGCGUAUGCAAUCUACCUUUCACAAAGGGAUAGCCCAGAGAAAUUUGGAUUAAUACCUUAUAGUAUAGCGAGUUCGCAUGGAUUUGCUAUUAAAGAUUUAUCGGUGAAAGAUGAGCAUGCGUCCCAUUAGCUAGUUGGUAAGGUAACGGCUUACCAAGGCUACGAUGGGUAGGGGUCCUGAGAGGGAGAUCCCCCACACUGGUACUGAGACACGGACCAGACUCCUACGGGAGGCAGCAGUGAGGAAUAUUGGUCAAUGGGCGCAAGCCUGAACCAGCCAUGCCGCGCGCAGGAUGACGGUCCUAUGGAUUGUAAACUGCUUUUGUACAGGAAGAAACACCCCGACGUGUCGGGACUUGACGGUACUGUAAGAAUAAGGAUCGGCUAACUCCGUGCCAGCAGCCGCGGUAAUACGGAGGAUCCAAGCGUUAUCCGGAAUCAUUGGGUUUAAAGGGUCCGUAGGCGGCUUAAUAAGUCAGUGGUGAAAUCCCUACGCUUAACGUAGGAACGGCCAUUGAUACUGUUAGGCUUGAAUUAUUAGGAAGUAACUAGAAUAUGUAGUGUAGCGGUGAAAUGCUUAGAGAUUACAUGGAAUACCAAUUGCGAAGGCAGGUUACUACUAAUGGAUUGACGCUGAUGGACGAAAGCGUGGGUAGCGAACAGGAUUAGAUACCCUGGUAGUCCACGCCGUAAACGAUGGAUACUAGCUGUUGGAAGCAAUUUCAGUGGCUAAGCGAAAGUGAUAAGUAUCCCACCUGGGGAGUACGUUCGCAAGAAUGAAACUCAAANGAAUUGA
rnacentral:rRNA from 1 species